rnacentral:lncRNA from 1 species
CCUUCAGGAGCUCUUGUAAGGUAGGUCUGGUGGUGACAAGCAAAAUCUCUCAGCCAUGAAUGCCAAGGCAAUUAUAUAGACGAACCAGUUUUUAAAACUGAAUUUUUUUUUGUAUUUUUAGUAGAUACCGGGUUUCGCCAUGUAGGUCAGGUCUUGAACUCCUGACCUUAGGUUAUCUGCCCCCUCGGCCUCCCGAAGUGCUGGGAUUACAGGCAUGAGCCACCGCGCCCAGCUGGAGCUGUAUUUUACAAAGUGUCAGUGUCUCAAAACCU